UACGUAGGGCGCAAGCGUUGUCCGGAAUUAUUGGGCGUAAAGAGCUCGUAGGCGGCUUGUCGCGUCGGUUGUGAAAGCCCGGGGCUUAACCCCGGGUCUGCAGUCGAUACGGGCAGGCUAGAGUUCGGUAGGGGAGAUCGGAAUUCCUGGUGUAGCGGUGAAAUGACGUAGAUAUCGAGAGGAACACCUGCGGCGAAGGCGGGUUGCUGGGCUGACACUGACGCUGAGGCGCGAAAGCUAGGGGAGCGAACGGG
rnacentral:rRNA from 1 species